CCUACGGGGGGCAGCAGUGGGGAAUAUUGCACAAUGGGGGAAACCCUGAUGCAGCAACGCCGCGUGAGUGAAGAAGUAUUUCGGUAUGUAAAGCUCUAUCAGCAGGGAAGAAAAUGACGGUACCUGAGUAAGAAGCCCCGGCUAACUACGUGCCAGCAGCCGCGGUAAUACGUAGGGGGCAAGCGUUAUCCGGAUUUACUGGGUGUAAAGGGAGCGUAGACGGCGAUACAAGUCUGAAGUGAAAGCCCGGGGCUCAACCCCGGGACUGCUUUGGAAACUGUGUUGCUGGAGUGCUGGAGAGGCAA
rnacentral:rRNA from 1 species